UGGUUCUGGCAUCGAUGAAGAACGCAGCGAAAUGCGAUAAGUAAUGUGAAUUGCAGAAUUCAGUGAAUCAUCGAAUCUUUGAACGCACAUUGCGCCCCUUGGUAUUCCUCGGGGCACGCCUGUUCGAGCGUCAUCACACCCCUCCAGCCUCGCUGGGUGUUGAGCGCCGGCGCCUCUGCGCGCCCGCUCUAAUGUCGUCGGCUGCGUCGUUCGAUCGCUCCGCGUUGUGGUUUACAAACUCGCGACGGUGACCGACGGCGCACGCCGGGCAACCACUUUAUUUACCAGGUUGACCUCGGAUCAGGCGGGGAUACCCGCCGA
rnacentral:misc_RNA from 1 species